CGUCCAUCACGGCUCCAAUUAUAUAGAGACAUGAACACCUGGUUCUGCUCCGGGUGAGGUUUUUCCUCCUGACCGCACCCCUCCUGACCACACACCUCCUGACCACACCCGUCCUCACUGCAUCCCUACUAACCGCAUCCCCUCCCGACCGCAUCCCUACUAACCGCAUCCCCUCCCGACCGCAUCCCUACUAACUGCAUCCCUCCCGACCACAUCCCUACUAACUGCAUCCCCUCCCGACCACAUCCCUACUAACUGCAUCCCUCCCGACCACAUCCCUACUAACUGCAUCCCUCCCGACCACAUCCCUACUAACUGCAUCCCUCCCGACCACAUCCCUACUAACUGCAUCCCUCCCGACCACAUCCCUACUAACUGCAUCCCUCCUGACCGCAUCCCUACUAACUGCAUCCCUCCCGACCACAUCCCUACUAACUGCAUCCCCU
rnacentral:lncRNA from 1 species